CUUGUACUCCCUCCGUCCCAAAAUUUUUGUCUUAGAUUUGUCUAGAUACGGAUGUACCUAAUACUAAAACAUGACUUGAUACAUCCGUAUUUGGACAAAUCUAAGACAAAAAUUUUGGGACGGAGGGAGUACAUA
rnacentral:pre_miRNA from 1 species